rnacentral:lncRNA from 1 species
AAAAAAUGUCACUACAACGUGUAAAAAUAUAAUACAAGCUAGACCACAGUUCAGCCACUGGUCAUCACAAAACUAUAUAAAUUAAUUUUUACGGUGCAGGAGCUGAAUAUCACAAAGUCCAUCUGUGAUCUUCAGUUCUUCACUUUCAAUUUAAAUCCUGCAUCACAGUUCUUUAGAAAAGACUCCUGGUUGAUCUGCAGGGUCAAAUUAGCAGAAAAGAUGAACUUCAGCAUUUUCCUUUGUCUGUACAGCUCAUGUUGUGCUUUGUUGUUCUCUGAGCUGACAGAGAGGAGGUGGAUUCAGAGGUGGAGUCUGUCCAGCUGCCCUGCAAUACCACACUUCAUCUGGCUGAAGGUGCUAAAGUGGAGUGGAUGGACAGUGGUGAUCAUAGGGUUCAUGUAUUUCAGAAUGGCCUGGACCAGCCAGUUGAACAGAGUCAGGAUUACAGAGGACGAACAAAGAUGUAUGCAAACCUGGUGAAAACUGGAGACCUCAGUCUGUUCCUGGACCGCCCCACAGAGAAAGACACAAACAUCUACACCUGCAGCGUCUACAGCAGGGAGGGAAACAUCCUGCUGAUGAAACAAGUGAAGCUCUAUGUCAGAGAAUACAAAUCCUCUAACAUAACAAUAAUCACAGUGGCAUGCGUCGCUGUUGUGUUCAUCAUUUCUAUUUAUGUGGGCUUUCGCUGGGGUUUUUACAAACAUCGAUGGUAGAAGACGGCUAAAAAGAAGGUAUGUGAGUCUGUGUCUCUUUAGCAAAAAGCAAACAGUCUUAUAGAUCAAGCAGUUGAGCUCUAAGUCAGAGAAACACUGAAAGCAGGAGGGAGGAGCUGCUGGUUACACAGCAGAGGAGAUGAUGGAGGAUCACACUCACAUGUGUCUGUCCUUUUGCUCUGCUCUGUGUCCUUUCUGUUCUUUAGGCAGUGGAAGUGGAGAGGUCGGUCCUGCCUCAGGAGGCCACAGUGGGGUGAAGACAGUCACUACAAAUAUGUGAUGGUCCGCGUGUGUCAGUGAAGCCUAAAGUAGACUGAUAAACCAGCCUGUUAGACUGAGAUCCAAGCAGUUUGUCCUUAAUACUGGAUCUCAUUCUGUCCACUGGCUGCUGGGAUCUCUUUAUGCUUCCUACAGUCCAAAGACAUGUUUGACAUGUCCUGCAGCAGCUGAGAUAAGUUCCUGAAGUUAGCGUGUUUACACUGCACUCAUGUCACAGUUUAGAUAAUCUCACUGUUUAACAACCGAGCGUACAUCAGGAGAAUGAACGGCACAGGAGGCACAGAGAAUGAAAGGAACACACACUUUAUUUACAGUGAAGUAAUGUGAAAACACAACGGCUGAACUACACACAAGAUGCCUGAUGAUUUAACCAGUGAGACUCCACAAUAAAGUAACUAUAACUAAAGUCUGUAAGUCUGAAAAACUGUGAGCAAAAUCAAACUAACAUUUCAGUAGGAAUAAACUGGGAGCAAAAGCCAAAACUAUGAUCUCUGUGAACUACAACAAUACUAUGAUUAACCUGGAGCAGAGCUAUGAUAGAUGCUGUGUGCUGUAAAUUCACUCUAAACUAAGAGUCCAUGGAUUGAGCCUGAAGGAUGGAGAGUUCGAGGGCUGGGAACCCGAUACGGGGUAACAGCCCAUGCAGGAACCCAGAGGUGUGAGGGGUAAGUGAAGGGUUAGAAGGGUACGGGAGCCGGGGAGCUCAGAGUCACUGCAAUGAAGGGAAACAGAUGUCAAAGAGAGCUCCAGAGGCCAACCCAGAUUGUGCUGGUCUUUAAAGCCAGCAGCCAAAUUACAUCCAGGUACUGUCUGUCUGUGAUGACGCGGCGACUCCACCCAGAGGUGGAAUCACUGGCGCUGUGGAAAAAGCCGGCACUCACCCGGACCAUGACAAGGAGGAGUUUCUAUUACAAUGUAACUCUGAGAUCAGCAACUUUCCUGUAAACUUAUCAAAUUUCCACAAACAGAUCCUUUGAUUAUGGAAAAUGAUAUUUAUACACCACUCGUCUCCACAUGUCCUCCCUUUGGAACAAUAGUAUCGCUGAAACUAGUUUGAGGGUGAUGCAUUGUUUGUGACUGAUUCACUGAACUCCGUGUUUUUUAAUCAAAUAUAAGUUGCACACAAAAAGAUUACAGGCAGGCGUCUUAUGCCAUCCCACUGGCACCAAGGCAGUUAAUCUGUAACAGCACAUUACAUUCAGAUGUCAAACCAGUGAUGCCAAACUUAGCACUUGGCAGCUGUAAUUUAAAUGAUGGUUAUUUAGGCAACAUGUAAAUAAACUGUCUUCCAUCAUUUUGACUCAUCAUUUGCAAGCUUUUAAUGAGGAUCAGUCGAUUAUGGAAAAGGCUUUUUCUAAAUGUUUUUGGUUCAUUUCUCCAAAAAUUAAAGAAGCAUGUUUAAAGAUAAUUAUAUUUACCCAGUGGCAGUGUUUCUAAAAACAAGACUAUACACAGCUGCUUAUCACUCAAGUUUGACAGCAUCCCUCAUUCUGAUAUAUCUCAUGUUAUUUACUACAUUGAUAAGUUAAAGCCAUCUGUCUCUGAUAUGAUUGGCACUGUUAUUCUCUCAGGUUCUGAUUUAAGCCUCCUGUGUCUUUUGGCCUCUGCCUCUUAUUUUGUUUACCUUGCAUUAUUUUUUAUUCUGUGAAAAUUAGUUUAAAAACAAAUGUUUUCCAACACAGUUCUCUUUGGUGACAUCUGGUGGACAAAAUAUGAAGAGCAGUUUGCAUCUAAAAUAUGAACAUGAACUGCUUCAUUAUGAUUAACUGUGCAGAGCUGAGCUCACAGCUUCUGUUUAACAUCGUGUGACAGUUAUGAGAUCAGGUUACUGUUCAUGUUCCAUUUUUUUCAUAAAUAAUUUGAUGAAUAAACCUUCCUUAGUUAAACGUAGCCUGGUUUGAUCUAACUGUGCUUGUGACUUCUUGACAUUUGGAAACAUAACAGAUAAAAAUAGAUUAUAUGUAGUAAUAUACAACAGAUCCUAUAACAGGUUGUUUGUGCUGUGAGGCCUCCACAUGGUUAUGUAAUGGACCAUUGAGCAGGUACAUUUCAAUAUAAUAUAACUUUUAUGUAUGGUGCAUUUUUCACAUAUUUUGACCUGGGGGUUGAAUUACUUAUAAAUUGCUCAAAUAGAAACAUAAUAUAUAUAAGAUUAUUCUAUUUGAUGUUUAUUUAUGAACAGGCUGAAUGUUUUCACUGUCUGUCAUUAUGUCUCACACUGGUUCACU